rnacentral:rRNA from 1 species
GACGAACGCUGGCGGCGUGCUUAACACAUGCAAGUCGAACGGCAAGGCCCUGCUUUUGUGGUGUUCUCGAGUGGCGAUCGGGUGAGUAACACGUGAGUAACCUGCCCUUGACUUUGGUGUAACUUCAGGAAACUGAGGCUAAUACCGGAUAGGAUCUCCUGCUGCAUGGUGGGGGUUGGAACGUUUCGGCGGUUGGGGAUGGACUCGCGGCUUAUCGGCUUGUUGGUGGGGUAGUGGCUUACCAAGGCAUUGACGGGUAGCCGGCAUGAGAGGGUGAACGGGCACAAUGGGACUGAGAGAGGGACCAGACUCGUACGGUAGGCAGCAGGGGGGAAUAUUGUACAAUGGGAGGAAGCCUGAUGAAGAAACGCCGGGGGCGGGAUGACGGCCUGUGGGUAGAAAAAAGCUUUAGCCUGUGACGAAGCGGGAGUGACGGUAAUGGAUAAAGAAGCACCGGCUAACUUCGUG